rnacentral:rRNA from 1 species
UCUGGUGGCUAUAGCAAAGAGGUCACACCUGUUCCCAUGCCGAACACAGAAGGUAAGCACUUGAGCGCCUAUGGUAGGCCGACUUAAGUUCGGACAG